rnacentral:rRNA from 1 species
UGGGGAAUAUUGCGCAAUGGGCGAAAGCCUGACGCAGCGACGCCGCGUGGGGGAUGACGGCCUUCGGGUUGUAAACCUCUUUCAGCAGGGACGAAGCGCAAGUGACGGUACCUGCAGAAGAAGCACCGGCCAACUACGUGCCAGCAGCCGCGGUAAUACGUAGGGUGCAAGCGUUGUCCGGAAUUAUUGGGCGUAAAGAGCUCGUAGGCGGUUUGUUGCGUCGGCUGUGAAAUCCCGAGGCUCAACCUCGGGUCUGCAGUCGAUACGAGCAAACUAGAGUGUUGCAGGGGAGACUGGAAUUCCUGGUGUAGCGGUGAAAUGCGCAGAUAUCAGGAGGAACACCGGUGGCGAAGGCGGGUCUCUGGGCAACAACUGACGCUGAGGAGCGAAAGCGUGGGGAGCGAACAGGAUUAGAUACCCUGGUAGUCCACGCCGUAAACGUUGGGCGCUAGGUGUGGGGCUCGAUUCCACGAGUUCCGUGCCGCAGCUAACG